GAUGGCUGUGUAGUGGACAACCAUGGCGGUCACGGGUAACGGAGAAUCAGGGUUCGAUUCCGGAGAGUGAGCCUGAGAGACGGCUAACACAACUAAGGUUGGCAGCAGGCGCGCAAAUUACCCAAUGUCAACACUGACGAGGUAGCGACGAAAAAUAGGAUUUCCGCUGGUCUUCGACCAGUGGAGAUUCCAAUGAAUGGUACUUAAACCCACCACUGAGUAACGAUUGGAGGGCAAGUCUGGUGCCAGCAGCCGCGGUAAUUCCAGCUCCAAGAGCGUAUGCUAAUGCUGUUGCUGUUAAAAAGCUCGUAGUUGGAUUCUGAGUUGAAGGUUGCACCCGGCCUUUCUACUGGGCGUCCUCUGGGCGCUCCAGUCAGAUUGGGUACAACCGAGUGCUUUCGACCUUCACUCUACACACGCGGAAACGAUUCCUCUGCGGAAGCCUCCUUCACUGGUGGUGGAAGCAACAUUACGGGACCACAAGUUCCCAUAAAGAGGCGUCCGCGAUUGUUACUGUGAACUAAACAGCGUGUUCAAAGCAUCCGUUUGGCUGAAUGAUCUAGCAUGGAAUAACAAGGGAUCGACCCUUUUGGUCUUCUUUUUGUCGGUUUUGAUUUCCCCAAGGGGCAAUCAAGGGCGGAGUAACCAUCUGGCCUCUUGUUGCGCUGGCUUCGGCCACGUGCUCAGGAACCAAAUGGUCUCCGUUCCGUCGGUAUUAAUAGGAGCAAGCGGGGUGGUACGUAUUGCUGCGUUAGUGGUGAAAUACUUAGACCGCAGCAGGACGAACAACAGCGAAGGCAUUCUGCAAGUUUGCUUUCAUUAAUCAAGAACGAGAGUGUGGGGUUCGAAGAUGAUCAGAUACCGUCGUAGUCCAUACCCGUAAACGAUGCCGAUUUGAAAUCAGCGGGGGUUCUACUUUAUGACCCCGUUGGCAUCGCCCCCUUUUAACGAGAAAUCCCAAAUUUUUGGGUUCAGGGGGGAGUACAUUCGCAAGGCUGAAACUUAAAGGAAUUGACGGAAUGACACCACAAGACGUGGAGUAUGCGGCUUAAUUUGACCCAACACGGGGAAACUCACCAGGUCAGGACGAAAUUAGGAUUGACAGAUUGAAGUUCUUUCUUGAUCUUUCGGAUGGUGGUGCAUGGCCGUUCUUGGUUGGUGAAGUGAUUUGUCUGCUUAAUUGCGUUAACGAACGAGAUCUCUGCCUCUUAAUAGGUGGCGGCGACGACUUUAAGCAGCUAUGGGGUUGGUGAAGGCUUCACGGCUGGAUCCGCCUUUUUGCUGUGAGUCUGCCGUGAAACUUCUUAGAGGGACUGUGUACGUUCCAGUACACGGAAGGUAGAGCGACAGGCAAGUCUAGUACGAACGUUUUACAUCUUCAUCU
rnacentral:rRNA from 1 species